rnacentral:rRNA from 1 species
CGGGAGGCAGCAGUGGGGAAUAUUGCACAAUGGGCGCAAGCCUGAUGCAGCCAUGCCGCGUGUGUGAAGAAGGCCUUCGGGUUGUAAAGCACUUUCAGUCGUGAGGAAGGUAGUGUAGUUAAUAGCUGCAUUAUUUGACGUUAGCGACAGAAGAAGCACCGGCUAACUCCGUGCCAGCAGCCGCGGUAAUACGGAGGGUGCGAGCGUUAAUCGGAAUUACUGGGCGUAAAGCGCAUGCAGGUGGUUUGUUAAGUCAGAUGUGAAAGCCCGGGGCUCAACCUCGGAAUUGCAUUUGAAACUGGCAGACUAGAGUACUGUAGAGGGGGGUAGAAUUUCAGGUGUAGCGGUGAAAUGCGUAGAGAUCUGAAGGAAUACCGGUGGCGAAGGCGGCCCCCUGGACAGAUACUGACACUCAGAUGCGAAAGCGUGGGGAGCAAACAGGAUUAGAUACCCUGGUAGUCCACGCCGUAAACGAUGUCUAC